CAGAACUCUUUUCUUUACAGCAGAAGACACGAGAGCCUGCCUAAGACUCAGAAACUGAAGUUAUCUAGUGCCAGCAGCUACCUCUCAAGUCUGCCGGCUGAUUUAAUAAGUACAGGAGCCAUGAAACAGAGUUAGCUUGCCACUAACGCUACACAGAGGCGUGACCUGGGCCUUCUGACCUGCACGACUGGAGUGCUGUCUCCCCAGCAACGCCUGCAUCUUUCAGCUUUGGAGCCAAACCCUUCUCAGCCUGUCUCUUCCACGGAUUCACCAGCUAAGAAGUUGACUGCAUAUAGGCAGUUUACCCUCUGGGCCAGGGGCCAUUUGGGGAAGAAGAACCGGAUCUCGAUUCCAGCCUGUGUGGUCAGCUCCAUCAGGGCUGUUUUUCCCUCCCCAGAGUACCAUGGAUUUGAGUAUGCCUACAUGUAUGAUGAUUUUUAAGUGUUGCGUUCAAUGUUUGCCAUUAAAUAUGAUUUACUGUUUUUAUUUAAUUAAGUGGUUGAAUUUGCAUUUAAAUGCUAUUUAGUAGUUGUGUUGUCUAUUACCAUCAAAUAAAUAAUAAUUAUUAUUAUUGAUAUUA